GUACAUGUUUGUAGUAUAUAUUGUUUACAUUCUUUGUGGGGAGUUGGUACAUGUACAUAACACACCUUAAUUUAUUUUUUUCGUCUUCUUCCUCUUCUACCAUCCCCUCUCCCUCUGUCUCCUGUUCCACUUUCCACUUGAGAAAGAUAUAGCUUCCUACUCCCUGUUAUAUAACUUUUAUUUUAUCUUUAUUUAUAAUUUUCAUAUAAGAGAAACCAUGUGAUAUUUAAGCUCCUGUGUCUGAUUUAUUUCACAUAUAGUCUCAAGGUACAUCCAUUUUCCCACAAAUGGCUCAAGUAUAUCCUUUCUGGCAGAAUAAUAUUUCCAUUGUGUGUUUUCUAGUUUCUGUUUUUUAAGGAACCUCCAUACUGAUUUCUAUAGCGGUUGUACCAGUUUACAUUCCCACCAAAAAUAUUGAAGUGUUUCUUUUUCCCUAAUCCUCACCGGCAUUUGCUGUUAUCUGAUUUCUUGAUGAUGGCCAUUAUUUCUGUGGUAAGGUGAAAUCUCAAUGUUUUAAUUUGCAUUUCUCUAAUGGCCUGCAACACUGAACAAUUUUUCAUGUAUCUAUUGAUCAUUUGUACUUCUGAGAAAUGUCUGUUCAUUUCACUUGCUUAUUUCUUUUAUUUAGGGGAAAUCUAAUAUAUUGAAUUCUUCAUAUAUUCUAGAUACUACUUCUCUGUCAGGAAUAACUGGAAAAAUGUAUCCUAUUCUGUACAUUGCCAUUUCAUUCUGUUGGUUGUUUCUUUUGCUGUACAGAAGCUGUUAAAUUUGAUAUGCCGCAUUUAUUGGUUCUUAAUUUAUUGGUUCUUAUUUCCUCCACUAUGGGGUAGUUAGUUCAUUUUUAGAACAAAACUAAGGGAAACUAUGAACAAUGACAGGCAAGGUUAAGAAAUACUGUGAAAGAUAAGUAAUAAGUAAAAAGCCACUAGAUUUUUCCAUUUAGAAAAUAAGUGUUGAGUCUUCAGUAGAAAGCUGUUGAUAAAAUGUUGGGAGCUAAGAAGAGAAGAAGACAAGAAAGAUUUGGGAGUUGAUGGACAGUGGACCAUGUGUUUGAGGUUUAUUAAAGGAAAUAGUAGUUUAUAAAAUACAGUGAGAAAAAUCAUUGUGUCUUUUCUGAGGAGGAAAUCUGUUUUCCUCUAGAGAGGAAGUUAAUAAAAAGACAAUAAUUGAAAACACAGGUUCAAAAGAGAUGGAGAAGGUUGGAAUAGAUACAUUUAACAUGACUUCUAUAUGAGUAAGGGCUCUUGUUUUGGACAGAAAAGAGAAGGUGACAAAUGAGAGUUUUAGGGAAAGAACAGGGAUUCUGGUGGAGUCUUCAUUAGGAUCUAUCUUCACCUCAAAAUAGAAUGAGAGGGGUCACUCAGCGGAGAGUAUGAGCAAAUGUCAAGUUGAGAAUUUGUGAAAACCUGAGAAUUGUUUAUUGUGUUGAUAAAACAUAUUUAAAAGUUAUUUAGGGGCCAGGAUUUAGCUCAGUGGUUCCGCCACCUGCCUCGCAAGCGCAAGGACCUGAGUUUGAUCCCCAGUAAAAAAAAAAAAAAAAGUGAUUUAGUACUUGUGUUACCUUAUCAUAAAUUAUAACACAGGGAUUGAACCUUGAAAAAUUAAAUUUCUUUGUUCUUAAUAUUCUCAGUUUCAACUACCUGAGAAUAGAUAUAUAAGAAAGAAAUGUUCAUAUUUCUUUCUUUUGAAUUUUUUAUUUGUUUAGUAGUACAUGUUUGUAGUAUAUAUUGUUUACAUUCUUUGUGGGGAGUUGGUACAUGUACAUAACACACCUUAAUUUAUUUUUUUCGUCUUCUUCCUCUUCUACCAUCCCCUCUCCCUCUGUCUCCUGUUCCACUUUCCACUUGAGAAAGAUAUAGCUUCCUACUCCCUGUUAUAUAACUUUUAUUUUAUCUUUAUUUAUAAUUUUCAUAUAAGAGAAACCAUGUGAUAUUUAAGCUCCUGUGUCUGAUUUAUUUCACAUAUAGUCUCAAGGUACAUCCAUUUUCCCACAAAUGGCUCAAGUAUAUCCUUUCUGGCAGAAUAAUAUUUCCAUUGUGUGUUUUCUAGUUUCUGUUUUUUAAGGAACCUCCAUACUGAUUUCUAUAGCGGUUGUACCAGUUUACAUUCCCACCAAAAAUAUUGAAGUGUUUCUUUUUCCCCUAAUCCUCACCGGCAUUUGCUGUUAUCUGAUUUCUUGAUGAUGGCCAUUAUUUCUGUGGUAAGGUGAAAUCUCAAUGUUUUAAUUUGCAUUUCUCUAAUGGCCUGCAACACUGAACAAUUUUUCAUGUAUCUAUUGAUCAUUUGUACUUCUGAGAAAUGUCUGUUCAUUUCACUUGCUUAUUUCUUUUAUUUAGGGGAAAUCUAAUAUAUUGAAUUCUUCAUAUAUUCUAGAUACUACUUCUCUGUCAGGAAUAACUGGAAAAAUGUAUCCUAUUCUGUACAUUGCCAUUUCAUUCUGUUGGUUGUUUCUUUUGCUGUACAGAAGCUGUUAAAUUUGAUAUGCCGCAUUUAUUGGUUCUUAAUUUAUUGGUUCUUAUUUCCUCCACUAUGGGUUUUUUUUUUCCUGCACUAUGGGGGUUCUUUUCAAAAAAUCCUUGCUUAUGCCUAUGAAUUCAAGAAUUUACCCUAGUUAAUUUCCAGCAAAUUGUUUCUGUUUAUUACUUGGCUCUUUAAUUGACUUUGAUUUAAUUUAGUACAUGAUGAGAGAUAUGGUCUAAAUUCAACCUUCUGCACAUGAAUAGCCACUUUUCCCAGCACCAUUUAGUAAAGAGGCUUUCAUCUCAUGUAUAUUUUUGUCACCUUUGCAAAAAUCAAAUAGUUGAGUGUGCUUUGGGUUGUUUCUGUAUCCUGUAUUGUGUUCCAUUGAUGCACAUUUUUUUUUGUAGCCAGCCAUGCUAUUUUUAUUAUUGUAGCUUUAUAAUAAAACUUCAGAUCUGGGAUUAUGAUGUUAUGAUGCCUCCUACUUUACUCUUGUUACCCUACUUUUGGACUCUGGUUCUCUUUUGGCAACUCAUGAAUUUUAAGAUUGUUUUCUCUAGUUCUAUGAAGAAUGCUGUUGGUAUUUCUUGUAAUUGUGUUAAAUCUGUAUAUCAAUUUUGGAAGUAUGCUCAUUUUGUCUAUAUUGCUUCUGACUAUUCAGGAAAAUGGAAUAUCUUUCCAUCUUUGAUCUCCUUUUUCAGAAUACUAGUUUUCAUUGUUGAAGUCUUUUGUUGGCUUAGGUUAUUUCUUAAGUAUUUAAUUUUUCUUAAUACUAUUGUGAAUGGUAGUUUUUAAAUUUUUCUCUCAGUGAGUUCAUUAUUGGUGUAUAGAAACACUUGAUUUUUGUGUAUUGAUUUUGUAUCUUACUACAUUGCUGAAUUUGUUAUUUCUAGGAGUCUAUUGGUGUAUUUUGAGGGGGGUCUUCUACUUAGAGAAUGAUUAUAUUUCUACAAGGAUAGUGAUGUAGCAGAAGGUAAUGACCUUGCGGUAUUAGAAAAAUCAUCAUUAAAAAGGAUCCCUGAGAAUAAUAAAACAAAGUUAAGAGAAUUAAGAAUAUACACUGACUAUCAGGGUGAUAGAAAAUGAGUUUAUUGAGUAGUAAGCAAUUCUUUGUUCCCUGUCAAAAUUUUUUAAGACUGAUGUUCAGAGAGUGGUUCACCAAUGUCAAAUAUUGUACUUUUGAGGUUCAAAUACAUAAUUAUAUUCACACAACUAUAGGAUACCCUUUAGCUCCACAUAUGUUGAUCUCUUUUUCUAUAGUUAAGUCAGCCUGUGGUAUCUGUAGCUUGGGGGUGGCAGUGUUCUUGACCACAUUUUUGACAACAUUAUUCAGUGUAAUUUAGUUUUGAGUUUUCUCCUAUCAAACUGAUUUCCAGAAUGAGGGAGGGAAAAAGAGAGGGGAAGAGAAGAAGAAGAAGAGGAAGAAAAAAGAAGAAGGAGGAGGAGGAAGAAGAAAGAAAAAAGAAAAGAAAGAAAAAGGAAGGAAGGAAGAAAAAAUAGAAGGAAAGGAAGGAAGAGAGGAGAGAAGGAGAAGAGAAAAGAAGAAAAAACUAGUUAGAGAUGAGGAUGAGGAAGGUAUCAUGAUUAAGGAGGAAAAAAUUAAAAGGGUGGUAAAGGAAUUGAAAAUGAUGAAGAUAUGUUAUAUGCAUGCACUAAUUCACCAAAAUGAACAAUCAUUAUUCUAUACUGCAAACAUAGUCUAAAACAUAAAGUAAAAUCAAAGUCUAAUAGGUCAGUGCCUUUACAAGUAGUUUUCCUUUUACAUAAUUAUUUCCAUAUGGAAAGGUGGCUCUUGCUAAACCACGAACUGGUUAUAAGUCAGUCAUACCCAAUCAUUUUAUGAAUUUAGUAUGGCUGUACAUAGAUUCUACAAAACAAACUGACUCUUCUUUUGGAACCACCUGGUAAAAAACUGUUAGAUUAAAAGAAGAAAUUUAACUUGGAUUAACUUUUGAGUUAAGAAAUGGAGAAAUUAGUUUUUUAAAUAUAAAAUCAUAAUCCUAAACUGGAUAUUGACCAAAUAAAUUUGUGUAUAACUGAAUUCAAUAUUAAAAUUAAUAACUAAAACCUUAAUAUGUCCAAGAAAGGUAUAAAGUCGCAAUCAACCUAAGAGUUGAGUAUAAUUGCUGAAAUUAUUAUAAUAGUAAUUUUUAUUUACUGUACUCAGUUUCCAGAAUAGGAUCUUGACUUAUGGAUAGAGAAUUCUAUCCAUGGUACAAUGAGGUGACAAUGGAAAAAGAAAGAAUGAGCAUUUUGAGGCAGCAGACCCAGAAACUUGGUAAAAAGAAGGCCUGGCUUACAUGAAGGGAAACCAAGAAACGUAUAUGUGAAUAUGUACGUGCAGCAUAUCUACUUAAGUACAGCUCUAACUUUGGUGCUCCACAGCAGUUCACAGUGCCCCUCUGCUCUACCCUUGUGCAAUAUGCAAUUCUUCUUGAAUAACAGUGUCUAGAAGUUUUCCAGAUUGAGUAUUGUAAUCUGAGAAUUACAGAAAGAUUUAGAACUUGAAAACUUUGCUCCCUUGUUUAAGAAAGAAAGCAUAUGUAAAAACUCAAAACCAACCAAACAGAAAAUAAGUAAGGCUGUACUCAUUAAAAACACUUUCCUGGAAAGAGGACAGCAGAGUACUACCCUGGAAAAGCAAGGACCUUGAGCGUUUUUGGAUGGAUGAGUACCUAAACAUCAACUUGAAACUCCAAGAAGACCAUAUGGGAAUAAUGCCUAAAUUGUUUAUUCAAUGCUUUAAACACAGUUAUUUUUGUCAUCUUUAAUGUAUCUACUUUGUUUAAUAGCAGCAUUUAGUCAUUGUUCUUCACUGGCUAAGGCAUAUAAUGUGCUGUCUCGUGUAACCAAGUGUCAUUAGAAGCAAAAUCUUCAAUAUCUAAUUUACUAAAUCUAAUUUUGCAGUUUUCAAUCUGAAAUGCAAAUUUAUAAAUUUAUAAACAUUUCACUUGGUGAAAUUUCAUAGAAAGGUUUUAAAAUCAAAUCUUUUUUUUUCCUUUGCUAAGUAGGAUGAAACUGAUUGUUCUGUGUCUUGUGGAGUUUGAGCUCCUAAACAAAAAUUCAGUGAGAGGAUUCUAGAACUCUUUGGUAUAUAAGAAAGGUACUUGCUUCAUGGGAAAUUUUCCUCAGACUCAGCCCUUGUGGAUUAUCCUUUAAAAUGCUUUCAUCACUUUUGCCUUGCUGCCUUCGAUUGCAAUGAGCCUAACCCUUGAAUGUUGCUGAAUUUAUAGCUCUGUAAAACAAACUCUUCUGGCAUUUCCUACACACAAUUGGGUUUCUUAGCUGCUCAAAAGAUUUGAGCUACAGUAGUUUGUUUCAUUAUUAAAGACAUAUGAUGCCUGUUGAACAGAUUUCCCCUUGGGCAACAGAGCUGAUAAAAGAAUAAAGAAUUUCAAGAAUCUGUAUCUCAAAAAUAAAUCCCAAGGUAUCUUUUACUUUUUUUUGACUUGGGGGGAAGCUUACAAAAUAAUUUCCAUUUUUAUUUAGCUUUGUACUUAUUAUGGAGCUGUGGGAGAACACAGCAUUUACCAGAUGAAAUUGUGCCAUUUGAAAUAAACAUGUGUUAUUUUAACUUUUGGCCUACAUUUGAUGACAAUAAUGAGACCUUCCUAAAAAUGAGAACCUGAAGUCAGCCCUAAUCGGAACCAUGAUUGCAGUUAGUAUAAUUCCAAAGGAAGCGAAUGUGGCUACUCUUCAAUGUUUCAUACUCCUUCCUUGAACAUAGUCUUUACAUUAGGUAAUAUUUUGUGUGUGUGUGGUCACUUGUUUUAAUGGUCACAUCUUACAUUCACCAUAAUGCUUUAAUGUCAGUCCUGUGGUUCUGUGAUCUUAGUGUCAUAGUAUUAAAUCUAUCAGACUGCUCAGCCCUUUGCAAGCAACUGAGAGACAAAGACUGCAAACUACAAUGAAGUACUGCAUAUUUGUUUGCCCAAGGAAAAAGCCAAUCCUAAUUUAGAUGUGCUUCUAUUUACUAGGCUACUUGGCUUUCCAUGGGCACAUUAAAUGACCAAGAGACUCCAUUUGUUAUUGAAAAGGACAGGAGCUGAAAUGAAAAGGGUUAAUUUGCAAAGGUAGGACAUCUGUUAGAAAUCAGCCCAGAAGCAGGAGCUGGCUGUAUUCCAAGAGUGGUUUUUCAUCUGCCAUGGAGUUGGCCAUUGACAGUUAAACUUGGAUCUAAACUUCACAAGGCAGAAAAACACAUUCUUGAAUUUAACAUUUAGUUCUUUUAGCUAUCCAAGCUGAAGGUGCUAGAGCUAUACAAAAAAAAUGCAGUAGCUAUACAGAGAAGUUGCUGUAGCUAUAGCUUUACAGACAAAUUGUGAAGCAAUACAGAAUUUCACUUGAGAUGAAGUCCCCAAACUUUCCUAAAUCUGUUUGUAUCCCAGCCAUUAGCCUAGGCUUCCAUUAAGGGCCUUACAUAAAUGUAUGUUCAGUAGAUAGUUGUUAAAUGUAAAAACUCGAAAUUAUUUUCUUUAUUAAUUUUAUUGGUACAUUUUAGGUAUACAAUAUAAUGACAUUCAUCAUUGGAAAUUUGCAUAUUUACAUAAGCUCUCUUGGUUCUUAUUUUUUCCUCAUUCUUCUGCCCUCCCUUCAACCCCUCCAUCCCUGCCUAUUUACAAAGACUUUGUUUCCAUUUUUGCAUUUUCUCAUAUUAAUUCCUUUGCCCUCCCCCUCCCACUUCCCUUUCCCCUUUGCCCCUUUUCUUCCUAUUUCACAUUAUCUAUUAUACCUUUUAGUCUUUAUUUACACUUUCAGUUUCUCACUCUCGAGAAACUAUUCGGUAUUUACACAUGUGUGUCCUAUUUAUUUCACUUACAAGUAUCACUUCAAUGUGCAUCCAUUUAGCUAUAAAUGUCUCUGAUUUCUCAUUUUUAUGGCUGAGUAGUACUCCAUUUUAUUAAAAAAAAAAAACACAUUUCCUUUGUCCAGUCUCCAGUUGAUGGGCACUUGGGUUGCUUCCAAGCUUUAGCUAUUACAAACUCUGCUGUGAUAAACAUAGGUGCACAUAUAUCACUUUGGUAUGAUUCUUUUAAUUUUGGGGGGAAGAUGCCCAGCAGGGGGAUAGCUGGGUCAAAUGGGACCUCCAGUCCUGGUUCUCCAUACUUGAGGUAUCUCCAUACUGAUUUCCACAGUGAUUACACCAGUCUACACUCCCACCAGCAGUGGAG
rnacentral:lncRNA from 1 species